ACCCCAUCCAUGCGUUGCGCCCCCAACUGCCCUUCCAUUGGUGCUCGCAUCUCCCCUUCCAUCCACACGCCGCGCCUCCAUCCAUGCCCCCACCCAGCUUGGAAACUCUGCAAAUCCAUGCCCAAAAUCUUCGGCCAUCGUCGCCCCCCGUGCCUCGCUCCCCUUCCAUUCGCCGUGAAUGUCGCCCUCAUCCAACCACCGGUGCAUCAGCCAGAUCCGUUCCAUCCAACCAGAUCUCGGCGAUAGUAGAGGACCAAAUGGUGGUGAAGGCGAUUCAUGAGGAGUGCCCCUGAGAGUCGCUCCCCAAUCGCCAUCGAUUUCGGCUGCCACCACGCCAUCGACCCUGGCCGCCCCCGCUCCCCCACGCAACAGUCGUCGCUAUCCCCUCCCUAUUCGUCAUCCGCGAUGCUCGCCGCCCCUGCUCCCCCACGCUGACUACACGCACCCUGCCAUCCUCGCCCUCCUCCGCGCACCGAAGGACGCUCGCCAUGCUCGCCUCCCUCCCCUCUGGCCAUUCCCUCACGCGCACUCGAAAAAAAGUCUAGCCCCCAAACUCCCCAGCGGGGGCGAGCCUGGGAGGAAGAGCCGUCGCCGCCAUGUAUGGCAGAACCAUCCGUGACCGCCUCGCUCCCCUUCAGCCCUUCCGUCGCGCGCGCUUGGAAAAAAGUCCAGCCCCAAACUCCCCAGCGGGGGUGAGCCUGGGAGGAAGAGUUGCCGCCUCCAUGUAUGGCAGAAUCGCCCACGACCGCCUCGCACUGUUUCGUUGCGAAGCCGCCUGACAGGACAAUGAACCUGAUGAUCUGGCACUACACCAUCCCCAGCAAGUAAGGGGAAGCAUCAUAGUCAUGGGAGGAGGGGAAGCGACGAAGGCGCGAGAGGGAUGGUAAACAUGGCCAGAUUCUGUACAUUAUUUAUGGAAUUAUGGUAGAUUUACGAGUCAUGCACUUUUGGUAGAUUCUGGCAACUCUUCUUCAAUAGAAAGAUUUUUUAUUGUUCACACCUUCCGUUUUGGACAUCGUCUUCAGCACAUGUCUUUGACUUUUUCCCUAAACAUUUGCUACUAAAACUUGUUGAAGAGAUAAUUUAUCUGCUAAUACUUUUUUUUGUUUUACUAUAGUAGACAUAAUUGUUACUUUCUGUAAUAAAUAAUAUUUCUGGAAUAUGAUUUGACAUUGUUAUAUGUCUAGAAAAUCAAUAGUGCUUUUAUUUCUCAGAUCUGACUGUACUAUUGAUUUAUGUGUCAUAUGCGCAUUGUUGUAUGCCAUCUUAAUUUGUGUUACCUGUGAACUAAUAGUAAUGUUUCUAAAGAUUUGCAUUUUCUUUUUAUAACCACCAAAAUUGUUUUGCUCUUAUUGCGAUAUUGAGAACUUAAGAAUAGAUUAUGGCAUUGUCAUGUUGUCUAAACCAUCUUAUUAUGACUAAACACUAUUUAGAUGAUUUAAACAAUUAUCGUUGUGCACUAAAAUUUUAUUUAAUAUUUUGUAUGCCGUUGCAACGCACGGGCAUCCAACUGAAAAGACAAGCACACAGACUCAAGAAACGGUAAAUAAACAUGUGUGUCACAAGUGAAUUGCUGGUAAAUAAACAUGUGUGCCACAGACUCUAUGAUUCAGACAUCGGAGGAAGACCAUGGAAUAAAAAGAGUUUGUACAAAGUAUGUACAAACUUUAUCAACUAAAUCACUCACUUUGCCAAGUAAAGCUUGGGACUUCCUGAUCAACAGUAAAUACUGGAUUGCUUCUGCUUUAGAUUAGAAAUUCAGAACGAGAAGUUUCCUUGACAGCACAUUGUUUUUAUGCUUCUGCUUUAGAUUAGAAAUUCCUUUCCAGAUGCUCACUAUUUAGCUUUGAUGUCUUUCACAGUGCUCUGGUCUUCCUCCGAUGUCUGAAGCUGAGGCUCAUGCUUUUGAAGUCAACUCUUUUGGCCUCUACAAUGAAUUAUCAGAGCUUGUUGAGUUAGGAGGUGCGGAUAACAACUUAAACACCAGCAAUGUGGAAACUACAGAUUACCUCAUGUUGCCACCUGACAGAGAACUGUCGGCUAAUGAUUACAUGGAACUAAACGAUCUCCUUGCUCUUGACCCAAGCUUCUCCAGUGAAUUUUCUGCUCAGGACAAUCAAUAUAUGCAGCAUCCUCUUGCUCAGUACAAUGGACAUUAUGAUCUGUCAGGUCCUUCGGAGCCAACAAUGCCUAGCAUUUUCGAUGUUUUUCCUCCCAAUAAUGGAGUCCUCGCAACAGAUGAUCCAGCCAACUACUUGGACCCAGCCAUGCAGUUCCCUUUCUCAUGAUUGGUCACCAUUUGUCAUGGAGCUUGCUGUUGCUACAACUCUAUCCACCCUGAACGUCAAGGACGUCAUUGAUGUCAUGCCUGGGCUCAUGAAAUCGUCUGUUGCUCUUCUGAACCAAGCCGACCUUGGCUGGUAUUUCUUGUAAGCACGGUGCUUGGAACAAUCUGCAUCGACUGCUGUAUGCUCCCAACUGGUUGAGCUAACGGCCAAUCUCGGCUCACUCUGCCGAGGAGAUCAUAGCCUGUAAAUCUUUGUUUAUGCUAUUACUUGUGUGUAUCGCAACCUGCCUGAUUACCAUUGUCUUGUGUUUUGAGUUUUGACAAUAUGCAAACCAUAAUAAUGUCGUAAUAUGGAACUCGUUUAUCAUGUUUAUUCCAUCCUCCCGUUAUGUGAGCUUUUGGAUGGUC